rnacentral:rRNA from 1 species
UACGUAGGGUGCAAGCGUUGUCCGGAAUUAUUGGGCGUAAAGGGCUCGUAGGCGGUUUGUUGCGUCGGGAGUGAAAACUCAGGGCUUAACCCUGAGCCUGCUUCCGAUACGGGCAGACUGGAGUUCGGCAGGGGAGACUGGAAUUCCUGGUGUAGCGGUGAAAUGCGCAGAUAUCAGGAGGAACACCGGUGGCGAAGGCGGGUCUCUGGGCCGAUACUGACGCUGAGGAGCGAAAGCGUGGGGAGCGAACAGG